UGGGUAAUCUUGUGAAACUUCAUCGUGAUGGGGAUAGAGCAUUGCAAUUAUUGCUCUUCAACGAGGAAUCCCUAGUAAGCACAAGUCAUCAGCUUGUGUUGAUUACGUCCCUGCCCUUUGUACACCACCGCCCGUCGCUACUACCGAUUGAAUGGCUUAGUGAGACCCUCGGAUUGGUAUUCAGAAGCUUUAACCGGCAUCUGUUUGCUGAGAAGUUGGUCAAACUUGGUCAUUUAGAGGAAGUAAAAGUCGUAACAAGGUAGCCGUAGGUGAACCUGCGGAAGGAUCAUU
rnacentral:rRNA from 1 species